rnacentral:rRNA from 1 species
UACGUAGGGUGCGAGCGUUAAUCGGAAUUACUGGGCGUAAAGCGUGCGCAGGCGGUUAUUUAAGGCAGGGGUGAAAGCCCUGGGCUUAACCUAGGAAUUGCGCUUGAGACUGGAUAGCUUGGAGUGCGGCAGAGGGAGGUGGAAUUCCACGUGUAGCAGUGAAAUGCGUAGAGAUGUGGAGGAACACCGAUGGCGAAGGCAGCCUCCUGGGCCAGCACUGACGCUCAUGCACGAAAGCGUGGGGAGCAAACAGG